rnacentral:rRNA from 1 species
CAGUCGCCGCGGGAAUACGAAGGGGGCUAGCGUUGUUCGGAUUUACUGGGCGUAAAGCGCACGUAGGCGGACUUUUAAGUCAGGGGUGAAAUCCCCGGGCUCAACCCCGGAACUGCCUCUGAUACUGGGAGUCUUGAGUUCGAGAGAGGUGAGUGGAAUUGCGAGUGUAGAGGUGAAAUUCGUAGAUAUUCGCAGGAACACCAGUGGCGAAGGCGGCUCACUGGCUCGAUACUGACGCUGAGGUGCGAAAGCGUGGGGAGCAAACGGGAUUAGAUACCCGAGUAGUCCCUGUCUCUUAUAC